rnacentral:lncRNA from 1 species
UCCAUUCUGGGCAUCGAUCAAUUAACUCCCUCAAGGAUCUGCUGGAUGUGUUCAGGUGGAUGGAAGAGAGGAGGCAAGUGGAAGAAAAUCUGAAAGAGAAUAUUAGUUUUAUGAGAGGUUUGUUGAUUGCAUUCAACGAAGGAAUUCAUACUGAUAUUCUUCUUAUGCCCAAUUCCGGUCCUCCUGUUCCUGCCCACAAAGCUUUGCUGGUGAGUAAAUAGUAUUAAUCAUAUAUAUCUAUGAUUAUGCAUGUACGUAUGUAACAUUCUAUUCAUCAUUGAUUAAAUUGCAGGCGACCAAAUCUGAAAUUUUGAAAACCAUGUUGGAGUUCGAUGAGUACUGCGGCAAGGCUCCGGUGAAAGAUACGAUCUCUUUUCCGGAACUUAACCACGAUCAACUUCGAUCACUGGUGGAGUUCCUUUACGCGGGUACAUUGGC